GAACUCAGAUCACGUAAGAUUUUAAAAGUCGAACAGACUUUAAAUUUAAACGGNUACACCUAAAAUUAUUUCUUAAUCCAACAUCGAGGUCGCAAUCUUUUUUAUCGAUAUGAACUCUCCAAAAAAAUUACGCUGUUAUCCCUAGAGUAACUUAAAUUUUUAAUCAUUAAAAAUGGAUCAUUUAUUCAUAAAUCAAUGACUUAAAUUUUAAAAGUUAUUUAAAUUUUAAUAUCACCCCAAUAAAAUAUAUUAUUAAUAUUAUAAUUAAAAUAAUCUACAAAAUUAAAAUAUAAUAUAUAUAAAGAUUCAUAGGGUCUUCUCGUCUUUUAAAUUCAUUUUAGCUUUUUGACUAAAAAAUAAAAUUCUAUCAUAAAUUUAAAUGAAACAGUUAAUAUUUCGUCCAACCAUUCA
rnacentral:rRNA from 1 species